rnacentral:lncRNA from 1 species
AUUCUUCACAAAAUUCUGCUGAUUUAAUUGGUACUGCUACGGAAAAGAAAACGAAACUAAAAACGAUGAUUGAUGAUCGCUCCGUUUCGGAGCAAUUCAAACUUGUUAUGGAGGAGGUUUUGGGACGUCUUAAUAAAUUAGAAGCUAAAAUGGACCCUAAGCCUUUAUCGGGAACCAGGCCCUCUGCCCCUCCGGCCACCAAUCCUUUUUUGGCAGCUUCUUUAAAGGCUGUCCAGGAAAUGGACUCAGAACCUUCUGACGAUGAGGACGAAACUCCUUUCUUUGCUUUUCCUAUAAUCAGGCCUGAUCCAGUUAAUGGAAUGGCACAUCCACCUCGGUAUGAGGGGAUUGAUAUUGAUCAUAUUAGCAGAUUAAAAAAGGCAGUGACAAUGUACAGACCUCAAUCUCAUUAUGUAAAAGCAUUGCUUAAUGCUUUUGCUACUCAUUACAAUAAUUUUGCUCCUGAGGAUUGGAAGAUUGUGAGCCAUGCUCUUCUACA